CUACGGAUGCUGCAGUGAGGAAUAUUGGUCAAUGGGCGCGAGCCUGAACCAGCCAUCCCGCGUGCAGGAUGACGGCCCUAUGGGUUGUAAACUGCUUUUCUAUGCCAAGAAACCUGAUUACGUGUAAUCAGUUGCCGGUAGCAUAGGAAUAAGCAUCGGCUAACUCCGUGCCAGCAGCCGCGGUAAUACGGAGGAUGCAAGCGUUAUCCGGAUUCAUUGGGUUUAAAGGGUGCGCAGGUGGGCUUGUAAGUCAGUGGUGAAAUGCUGCCGCUUAACGGUAGAACUGCCAUUGAUACUGCGAGUCUUGAGUAUGGUUGAGGUAGGCGGAAUGUGUUGUGUAGCGGUGAAAUGCAUAGAUAUGACACAGAACGCCAAUUGCGAAGGCAGCUUACUAAGCCAUUACUGACGCUGAGGCACGAAAGCGUGGGGAGCGAACAGGAUUAGAUACCCCCGUAGUC
rnacentral:rRNA from 1 species